rnacentral:tRNA from 1 species
GUGACUUAGUUGGUUAAAGCGCCGGAUUUGCGAUGCGGAGUCUUGGGUUCAAAUCCCACC